UCAAACUUGGUCAUUUAGAGGAAGUAAAAGUCGUAACAAGGUUUCCGUAGGUGAACCUGCGGAAGGAUCAUUACACAAUAUGGUCCGGUCUACUCUGUAGUUCCGGCAUCGCCGGGGGGCUUCACAGCCCCCGUCUGCACCCUUGUCUUUGCGCACUCAUGUUUCCUCGGCAGGCUUGCCUGCCGUUAGGACAACCUAAACUCUUGAAUUUUCAAUCAGCGUCUAAAAAACUAUAAUAUUUACAACUUUCAACAACGGAUCUCUUGGUUCUGGCAUCGAUGAAGAACGCAGC
rnacentral:misc_RNA from 1 species